rnacentral:rRNA from 1 species
CCUACGGGUGGCAGCAGUGAGGAAUAUUGGUCAAUGGACGAGAGUCUGAACCAGCCAAGUCGCGUGAAGGAUGACUGCCCUAUGGGUUGUAAACCUCUUUUGUCAGGGAACAAAACCAGGUACGUGUGCCCGUUUGCAGGUACUUUAUGAAUAAGGAUCGGCUAACUCCGUGCCAGCAGCCGCGGUAAUACGGAGGAUUCGAGCGUUAUCCGGAUUUAUUGGGUUUAAAGGGUGCGUAGGUGGGUUGUGAAGUCAGUUGUGAAAGUUUGUGGCUCAACCGUAAAAUUGCAAUUGAUACUGGCAGUCUUGAGUGCGGUUGAGGUAGGCGGAAUGCGUGGUGUAGCGGUGAAAUGCAUAGAUAUCACGCAGAACCCCGAUUGCGAAGGCAGCUUACUAAACUGUGACUGACACUGAAGCACGAAAGUGUGGGUAUCAAACAGGAUUAGAUACCCCAGUAGUC